rnacentral:lncRNA from 1 species
UAGAGGUGACUACAUAACCGGUAGUACCUACCACAACAACCUCAAAAUCGCUUUUAUCUACCUCACUUUCAACUCAAAAAUUGACUACGGUUUCUACAACACCAACUAUGGCCAAAACAAUGACAAAGUAAACGUCAUUGGAAUAUGUAGAGGAGACAUUAAUCCUCAAGACUGUCGCAAAUGCCUAAUAGGUUCCAGAUUCAAUCUCACACAAGCAUGUCCAAACAAAAAAGAAGCAAUUGGAUGGUACGAGGAUGAGAAAUGCAUGUUACGUUAUUCAGACCGUUCUAUAUUAGGCCUAAACGAAAUUGGGCCAGCUUAUACUAUGUGGAACUCGAACAACGCAACAAUGGCAGAUCAACUUAGUAUCUUAGUAACACAACUAUUAAAUGAUUUAAGAAGCAAGGCUAUAAAUGGUGACUCACAUAGUAAGUAUGUUGUUGGAACAUCGCCGGGUCCUAGUAAUAAUCAAUCACCUUCUCAACAAAGUAGUGGUGAAACAAUAUAUGGUCUUGUUCAGUGUACACCUGACUUGUCUGGUCCACAAUGUGAUGAUUGUUUGCUUCAAUCUAUUGCUGGAAUUUCAAGAUUUAGCAAUAGGAGUAGUGCUAGAAUGAUUAGACCAAGCUGUUAUUUGAGGUUUGCAACUUCAUAUCAAUUCUAUCAACCCAAACCAAAACUGGCUUCCCAACUCCCAUGAUCAACAACACUUUUCUCGAAGGUAAUUGUAAGGUGAGAGGAUCUCUCUUCAUAAACUUUUUUUCAGCUUUAUCUCUUUUGAAUAUGCAUGUGAUUUAAGUUAUUUCCAAUACACUUUUUAAUGCCAUGAUUUUUGGGUUUGGUCGGUCAUCCGGUAAUUUGGUGGGUGAUUCAAAUGAAUGAAUUUGGAUAAUAUAUUAUGUUUUUAUAUUUGGUUCAAGUCCUAUUCUUAGUAAGCAGAUUUGUAAAAUAUAAACGCCACUCUUUACUAAUUUUCCAUUUAAUUAAAUAUCUCACCGAUAUGAUUAGUUCUAUUCUUUUUUAUGCAGAUAAAAUAAACACAUUGAGAACUAUUGUUGAUACAGUUCUGUUGUUGCCGCUGAUUUUGUCAUUGCUUCUUUUAUAUAACUAGUAUGUGAACUCGUGCCAAGCACGGGCAAGAAUUUCUCCAUACUCGAAGGCGAAAUAUAUUGUGAUUUAUCAAGUGUCAGUUACGGUCUAACAUUGAAUAUAAGAGUUGAAGUUGAACAACAAAUAGGUGAAAAAACUCUUGCAUUUGUGUGGUUGCUCUUUGUACAAUGAGUUGACCCACACCAAUAUUGACGAUCACUUAGAAAGUCCUACGUUUGUAUCGUAACCCGUUUCAACUUUGUGGAGAAGUGACAUUGGUUAAUGAUGGUAUAUCACAGAUGCGGAGAGUCUCGUAUUUAAGGAAUAGAUGUUAAUGUGUCAAGUGUGAGUUAAAGUUUCACAUUGGCUGCAAGAGUAAUUGUUUAACAACAUAUAAGUGAUAUGACUCAUAUACAUAAUGCCUUAAGGUUUAGGGUGAAGAUGUAGUCUCAAUCUCACUUGUGUGGUAUAUGUUAGUAUAAUGUGAUGAUCAAAAUCAAUGUAGGAUUCACCAGAAGUCACAACAUUAUGAUGAACUGUUUUUUUAGUUUUUGGAUGUCAUUUGUUUGAUUUUAAUCUUAAAAUUUAGUCUUUAAAUGUCAUUAAUUAUCUUUUCUGCGAAUUUUUUCAUUCAACCUUUAUUAUUUCAAAUUCCUUUACAUUAUAUUUUGUGUUUGCUUUAGCGUAUUUGUAAUAAGUACAACUGCGUCAUUAAGAGAGUGUUGUAUAUGGUGCAACAAGUUUAUACUUGAGUGGGUAACAACAUCCAUUUUUAUUUGGUUCUUAAAUGGGUCUCACGUGUACACAUCAUUUGUUUAUAAUUUUUUAAUAAUAGUAUUUAAUAAACACUCAAUCACUCCAACUCAAAUCUCACACAAAGUUCUUAAAUGGAACCUAUUAAUCAACUAUCAAUAAUUUUAUAUCAUUAUAUUUCAAUUUUUUAAUAUUAAUAGAGUGUGAGUCCCGCUUAAAAGUGGGGGUCUUAAGUAAGACCCCGGGUCUUAUAAGACCCUGAAAAAGAUUUUCCCCAUUGGGGGUUCUUAAUAGGUACUGGGUCUUAAAUAGUUAAGACUCUCCCAAUGGAGAUGGUCUAAUAAUUUGAUGAGGUAUUUUCUCACUUAUAUAGUCAACUACAAACCAAGUAAAUUAACUAUUGUUCCUUCCUGGUUGGGUAUAACUAUCAUUGUUCCAUCAGAUAUUGGUUGUCACGCACAACAACUUUUUGGCGCGCAUGCUUUCAGGAAGGGCAUUCGCUCUUGUUUUCAGGUGGUGUGACUGACAUGUCUUUGGGUCAUUUGAAUGAGAUAAACUCUAGAAUUUUCAACAACAUCUCUUCUAAAGAUCAACUUGUCGAUAGUAUUAAGCUUCAUUCUUGGUGGUGGCUAAAGACACAUAAACUGGAUUUUGUUUUUUAUUUUCAUUAUUGACGGUAUAUGCCGUCUCUUUGUAUAUGUUAAACCAUUUUGUAAUUAUAGGAGGGUGUAUUGGAUUAAGAUUUUAAAAGACUUUUAUUAUAAAAAAAAAAAUAAAAAAAAAAAGUCUUGUGAUAUUCAAUCAAGACUUUUUGCAAGUUAAAAAAAGUCUUGUGGUAUUCAAUCAAGACUCUUUGUCAUUUAAAAAAGUCUUGUGGUAUUCAAAAUUAUUCAAACUUCUAAAGAUUGUUUAAUAAAUUGGAUUUUGUGAGAUUUUCUAGUUAAAUUUUAGCAUGAAAAAAUCUCACAUAAAUAAGAGUCCGUAUUGAGAAUAUUGUGAAAAAAAGUGUUAUAAUCAUUUCUCUAACUUUCUCGUAAAAAUAAAUAAAUAAUUAAAAGAGUUUGUAUUGAAAAUAUUGUGAAAGAGAAUGUGUUUAUAAUCAUUUCUUCUCAAUGAAUCAUUAAAAUUCAUAAAAUCUUUUGAAAUCUUAUAAAAUCCAUAAAAUCAUUUCAAAUUCUUUAAAAUCUUAUGAUCUAAAUCCAUUGAAAUCCAUUAAAAGCAUGCAAAGUCUUUUAAAAUCCAUAAGACUUUUUUAAACAAAAAUUGUCCUUUAAAAUCCUGGUCCAAUACACCCCCCGUAGUUUCUGUCUUUACUGUGUUUGUUACUUUGACAGUACACAGUUUCCUUUUAGGAACAUCUUGUGCUUAACUCGUUUGGUUUUGAUAUAUUUUGCAUUUAGCUUCUUCAAAAAUAAAAAUUAACUUGAUUUUGAAUUUUAAGAUAGAUGAGUGGUAUGGCCUUAACUCGUUUGGUACUUUCAUUCUUUUUUUUCAACAUUUGUUUAAACCUCUUCAGAAGUAUUAAGAUUUUUAUGUCUCUCAUGGAAGUUUAUGAGACUUCCAGCUCCAAUUCCAACCCUUUGAUUCUUCAAACACAAUAUCUACUUGCUAUAUAUCAUCGUCUUGUCUUUAGGAUCGUACAACUUAUAAGCUUUAUAUUCAUCAUGCAUGCUAAGAUGAACACACGAUGUUUUUUUGCAUCUAGCUUCCUUUUUCUGAAACAUCUUAGACAUGAACAUAUGUCAAACAUCCAAAAUUUCUAAAAUGAUGUAUAAAGGGUUUCCAACCACUGCAUGCUUCUUUAGGUGUGAUGUCUUUAAAUGAGGCCUAUUUCCCCGCUUCUGGCCAAAACUUCUUUGGUAUACAUUUCUUUCUGAUAGCAUGCUUCUUACGAUAUUCAUUAGAGCCAUAUUCUUUCUUUCUAGCACUCCUCCUCCUCCUCCUUCUUUUUCUUUGAUUAUGGAUUAGUGAUGAGUAAACAACUUUGAGAAUCAAUUGUAUCUAAAUUUUUGUUGUUUGAAAUCUUUAUAAUACAUAUCUAUUACACCCAAUAUUCAAAUUACGUUUCUAGUAAAUUAAUAAGCCAAAGUCAAGUGACAAUUAAUGUGGAUUUGUGAAAUACUCAAGUGUUGUAGUCGAAACAAAGUCAUUUGUACUACAAACACAAUUAUUCAAAAUAUGUUGUAACACAAACCAAGCAUAUAUACUCAUUGUUGUCAAAAUCCCAACAUAAAUCCUAAAAUUCAGGAUUUUGCAACUGACCAUAGUAAAAUCCCAAAAUAGGCAAAUCCAUCGUUUUUUUUUUUAACAAGCCAAAAUGGAAUUAUAUACGAAAUAGGGUAGUCCCAAACGCACAAGGUGUGCCUUAGAGACGCAAAUCCAUCGGUUUUGAUUGCAAUUUUACGAUUUCUUAUAAACUAAGUCAUUUAUGACUAUAUACCAUUUAUAACAUAUAUUUAGUAUUAUUUUUUGUGGUAAAAUCCAUCGAUUUUUAUUUCGAUUUUGUGAUUUCUUAUAUCAAUUCUACAAAAGUAGUUGAGUAAAAUCCUUCGAUUUUGGUUGUGAUUUUACGAUUGUCGAUUUUGCUCUUCUCUUUCAACCUAAAGAAAAUCCCGAUUUUGACAACCAUAUACUCGAAGAAGGCUUUCUUCGAAAAUCAUAUAAAUGCAGUUCGAAGAAAGACGUCCCUGAAGACAAUUGCAAAUUCAAAGUGUUCCAAACAUCAAAAUAAUUACUACCAUGUAAUAUAAAGAUUGCAAGAGUUUAAAUGGGUGACUAUACUUGGGAAGUUAUCAACUAAAUAAGUUAAAGGAUCCAUGAAAUAAUUUUGCCAAAAUUUGUCUCACUUAUACAGAAUAAUAUAAAAUCGGUUAAAACAAGCACAGUUGCACCAUCAAACUUUUGGUAGAAGAAUAUCCACUAAUCUCAAUUGCGACAUUCAAAAUACACGGAAAGACACAACUAUUGGUCAUCUGUCUGAACAUUGGUGAGAUAAGCUAUCCAUUAACUUGAAAUCGAUAAUGGGAAGAGCCAAAAAAUUAUUACCCUAAGCUAGUGGCCAAGAAAAUGGAUUUUCGAGGUGGAUCACUUUCAUUUCAAGUGGUGCACAGGCAAUCAAUUAAGGAUAUUAAAGGACAACUUGUGAUGGAACAAAUUCAUUUUUAUUGAUCUCAUGAGAAUACAUUUCUGUGCACAUAAUCAUGAUUUUUAUUUUAUUGAAAGCAUGUAAAAUUAUUAUUGAAAAUGAUUUAUUUUGUUUUAUUUGAAAUAAAAUUGUUUUUUAAGGGUGGCUCUAUGGUGCCAUAACCGCUAUAUUUUUGUAUUAAGUGAUUGUUUUAUACCUUUAAUUUUAUUUUUUAUCACCAAAAUCUUAUUUGUGUGUGAGACAUUGAGAAGUGAGACAGACCAACAUAGUGUCGUAAUCAUCGUUCACGUCUUUUAUGUUCGUGAUUUUGACGAGUUCUUAUGUUCUCCGAUUGUUAUGGACACACCAUUGCUACAACCAGCCUAUACAUAUUUUUUAUGUAUAAGAAAAUUAAUCUAAGGGCGAUCUUAUUUGUUCAUAAAGACAAUUGAUCUAGUUGAUGGAUGUUAAUUCAUGUGGUACGUAUUUGCAUUGACCUGCAUAUAUAUGAGCAUGAUGUUGGUUCACUCUUUUUCAACAAACUAAGUGAAACGGGUCAACUUGAGUUGUCAAGCUCAAAACUUCACCUCGCUCCAUUUUAAAUUACAGUUAAAUACGGCAGGCUAAUAGGCUUAAUCCGUCUGUUUUAUCAUCCUUUCCGUUAAACUCAAUUUUCAUUGGUAAUGAUUCACACUAUUAUUAAUUGGAUUAACUUUUUUUUACCACUACUAACUCAAUCCAGCUUGAAAAGUCUUUGUCAUUUCCACAACCUAAAAGAAACAUGAUUUGCGAUCUGCUUUUCGCAAUAGAUUCGUUGAUUUAAAUUGGUCCUUUAUGUUAGAAAAUGACUAACUUAAGAAAGUAAUUUGUAACAAAGCACUACACUUAAAGGGCUACUUUGAAAAAAAUUGUAACAUAAAAAAUAUAUUAAAGGAUUAAUUUGUUAUAAACAUCCAACUUAAAGGACAGCGUGAGGUAUUUAACCUUUAAAUUAAAAUGUUAUAAAAAAAUUGCAAAUUAUAUUAAACAUGGCCAAGAAUAGAAACUUCAUCUUUGCCUAUAAAAGCUCAUUCAUAUGUCUAAACCUUCAAUCAUCCGACUAAUUGUUUCCUUAAGUACAAUCAAUAUGUCUAUUCUCUCUUUAAGCCCACUUUCCUUUCUCUUUCUCAUAAUUAUCCUUUUCACAUCUAAAGCCAAAGCAGACAACAACGACCAAAAAUUCCACUACUUUUGCGACCAAAAUAACGAUAGAGGUAACUACAUAACCGGUAGUGCCUACGACAACAACCUCAAAUUCGCUAUCAUGCACCUCACUUACAACUCAAAAAUUGACUACGGUUUCUACAACACCAACUAUGGCCAAAACAAUGACACAGUAAACGCCAUUGGAAUAUGUAGAGGAGACAUUAAUCCUCAAGAUUGUCGCAAAUGCCUAAUUGGUUCCAAAUUCAAUCUAACACAAGCAUGUCCAAACAAAAAAGAAGCAAUUGGAUGGUACGAGGAUGAGAAAUGUAUGUUACGUUAUUCAGACCGUUCAAUAAUGGGUCUAAACGAAAUUGGACCUGCUUAUUUUGCAUGGAACUUGAACAAUGCAACAAUGGCAGAUCAAUUUAAUAUCUUGGUAAAACAAUUGUUGAAUGAUUUAAGAAGCAAGGCUAUAAAUGGUGACUCACAUCGUAAGUAUGUUGUGGGAAAAAUGCCGGGUCCUAGUAGUGAUCAAACAAUAUAUGGUCUUGUUCAGUGUACUCCUGACUUGUCUGGUCCACAGUGUGAUGAUUGUUUGCUUCAAUCCAUUGCUGAAGUUUCAAGAUGUUGUAGCAAUAGGAUUGGUGCUAGAAUUAUUAGACCAAGCUGUAAUUUGAGGUUUGAAACUUCAUACCAAUUCUAUCAACCUAAAGCAAAACUGGCUUCGCAUCUCCCAUGAUCAUCAACACUUUUCUCGAAGGUGUAAUUGUAAGGUGAGAGUGUCUCUCUUCAUAAAAAAAAUUCAACUUUAUCUCUUUUGAGCCAAUAUACUCUCUCAUGCCCAUGAUUAUUGGAUUUCGUCUUUUGGUAAUUUCGUGGGUGAUUCAAAUGAAUAAAUUAUGAUAUUAUAUUAUGUUUUUAUAUUUGGUUUAAGUUAUUCUUAGUAAAUAGACUUCUAAAAUGACUAAUGUCAUUCUUUAUUAAUUCUGAGUUAAAAUUCAUUUUGAUAAUUCACAAUUUUUCUAUAGACUAAUUUUAGUCUUGACAAAAAUAAAACUCAAAGCGGAUCCUAACAUUUUCAUACAAGAGACAAAUUAGUUUUUAUGUUAUAGUGAAUUGUUGCUAGUAUAAAAUGACGGACUAUUUUUGAUUUUAGGUUUGUCAGAAACUAAAUUGGUUUGCACGAAAUUAUAAAGGACUAAAAUGAGUUUCACUCUAAUUGUUUUCAUCCGAUCUUUUUUAGAAUUCAAUGUGGGACUUGGAGUUUUUUCCAGUAGUUAGAUCCAUAAAAAAAAAAAAAAAAAAAAAAAUCAAGUUAAUUUUACUUGGUUUGUGAUUCACUGUGCUUUAUUAUCCUUAAUUUUCCAUUUAAUUAAACAUCUAACCGAUAUGAUUAGUUCUAUUUUUUUUUAUGCAGAUAAAAUAAACACAUCGAGAAUUAUUGUUGAUACAGUCGUGUUGUUGCUGCUGAUUUUGUCGUUGCGUCUUUUAACAAUUAUAUUUGUGUUUGUUUUAGCGUAUUUGUAAUAAGUACAACUGUGUCAUUAAGAGUGUUGUUGUAUAUGGUGCAACAAGUUUAUACUUGAGUGGGUAAUAAUUUGAUGAGGCAAUUUCUCACUUAUAUAGUCAACUACAGAUCAAGUAAAUUAGCCACGGUUCAUCCUUGGUUGGGUAACUAUCGUUGUUUCAUCGGAUAUUGGUUGUCACGCACAACAACUUUUUGACGCGCAUGCUUUUAGGAAGGAAAUUCACUCUUGUUUUCAGGUGGUGUGGCUGACAUGUCUUUAGGUCAUUGGAAGGAGAGGAACUCGAGAAUUUUCAACGACAACAUGUCUUCUAAGGAUCAACUUCUCGCUAGUAUUAAGUUUCAUUCUUGAUGGUGGCUAAAGAUGCAUAAACUGGGUUUCGCUUUUGAUUAUUAUUAUUGGUGGUCUAUGGCGUCUCUUUGUAAAGAUUACAUCAUUUUGUAAUUGUGGUUUCUGUCUUUAGCGUGUUUGUUGCUUUGACGUUGUACACAGUUAUCCGUUAGGCGCAUCUUGUGCUUAACUCGUUUGGUUUUUAAUAUAUUUUGCAUUUAGCUUCUUAAAAAAAAAAAUUUACUUGAUUCUGAAUUUUAAGAUAGAUGGGUGGUAUCUUGGGCCUUGGUGGUAACGCAUUAUCUAACUCAACAUCAUCAUCGGUAUGUUUUGACCAAGUACUUUCAUUCUUUUUUUCCAACGUUUGUUUAAACCUCUUCAGAAGUAUUAAGAUUUUUAUGUCUCUCAUGGAAGUUUCUGAGACUUCCAGCUCCAAUUCCAACCCUUUGAUUCUUCAAACACAACAUAUCUACUUACUAUAUAUCAUCUUCUUGUCUUAAGGAUCGUACAACUUAUAAGCUUUACAUUCAUCAUGCAUGCUAAGAUGAACAUACUUGAUGUUUUUUUUCGCAUCUUGCUUCCUUUUCUGAACAUCUAACACAUGAACAUAUGUCAAACAUCCAAAAUUUCUGAAAUGAUGUACAAAGGGUUCCCAACCACUUUCAUUCUUUUUCUUCUUUGAUUAUGGAUUAAUGAUGAGUAAACAGCAUUUUUUACAUGAAAUGGAGGGAACUUAUCAAGCAUUUUUUAGGUGGUUUAAAACUCUUGUCAUCUAUGAAAUGUAGUAGUUAGUUUAUUUUAGUCUAUAAAUAAUAAUCUCAUAACUCCAUGCAAGAGAGUUUAUUUCCAUUCAGAAAACUACGCCUACUAGAUAACACAUAUGUCCUCGUAGAAUAAACAUCUUACUGCAACGUUGAAACGAACUAUGUAUGCGACUCAAACUCAUCCUUAUUUAUUAAUUUUGUUAGGUCUGCAGCAAUUUAACCUAACAAAUUCCGUCUAAAAAAAAAUGCAUCGCACCAAUUUCAUUCCUAUCCUCUUGCCUGUUUUUUUAAGGAAAUAUUUUCUACACUUAUUUGAUGUUGUUUGUUCUAGAAACUAUGAGCAUAUCAAUGAUCAUGUUUGAUGCCUUCUAUUUUAUACUUUUUUUCUUUGACAAUUUUUUGUACACUUUCUUUUUUAAGGAAAUAUUUUGUACACUUAUUUAAUAUUAAGAAAAUGGAUCGCACCAACAUCAUUCCUAUCCUCUUGCCUUUUGUUUUUGCUAUCAUCUUGCCUUUUUCUUUUUAACAAUAUUUUGUACACAAUACUAGAAAAAUUUCAUCGCACUAAUUUCAUGCCUUUUUUUUUACAAUAUUUUGUACACUUUUUUUUUUGAACCAAUUUCAUGCCUUUAUUUCAUUUCUAUCAUGUUGCCUUUUUUUGACAAUAUUUUCUACAUUUAUUUAAUACGUUUACAAAUAGAAUACCCUAAUUUCCAUGCAAACUUGGCUCCCCUAAUUUCCAUGUAAAUUUUGUUAUAUAUACCAAGCCCUAAACGUGUUUCUCUAAAAAAAAAAAAAUAUAACCCUAAACCGUGUAAAAAUUUCACACACAACACAAAAAUCAUAUAUUUUGAUAUUUAGAGUUUUGCAAAUGGAAAGAUGUGACUUUACAACUUAUUUUUUUCAUUGUUACCAAUUAUAUAUUGCAUUUUAUUAUUCAUAUGUCAAUUCCUUUACAAUAAAUCCGAGCGGAGUACGGGUCAAAAAUCUAGUUUAUAAUAUAUAUAAUAUAUUAUCUUUGUUUUCACUUUUGCACAUUUUGUGCGCAUAUUUUUCUCUUCAUUUGUGCAUUUAACUUUACUAUUUUUACGUCCAUAUGUUUCUUGCAUCUUUGGCUGCGCGCUUGUAUCCUUAAAACUUAACAAUUAAGAACCUCCUAAAGAUCUAACUUGAGUCUUUGAUUUUUCGAGUUUAUUUGUUGGAAUGAAAGAUUCUCACGCAAACAAUCUCAUUUCUGAAGACGUUAAUUACUUUGAAUUGUGUGUGCGGCAUAAGUAAUGGUAAUUUUUUAGUUAGAAAUAUUAUUUGUCUCUUAUUUUAUGUGCAAGGAUGUGAAUUUACUUCUUAAAUAUGAUGCUGGCAAUGACUAGUUUAUGUUUUUGGUAAUAAUGCCCAGCUUUUUAUUAAGUUUAAAUCUUUGCUUUUAUCUAUUAAUUUGAUGGUAUAUACACAGUUUAUAAUAUUAUUACCGUAAGAACUGUGAUAUUUCUUUUUUAAAAGAGUAGUCCAUCAUGAUAGUUAAUUAGUAUAUAGUAUACAUAUUUUACCUUAAAUCACUGGUAAUUGAAAAUAAGAAAGGACAACCCUUGAUAUAUUGAACUACCUUCGUCUCAAUUUAACUGAGUUAAUUUAACUUUUCACACAGAUUAAGAAAAGUGUAUAAAUCAAAGAGAGAGAGAGAGAGAGAGAGAGAGAGAGAGAGAAAAAAAUAGUUUUGAGUGUCUUUGGCAAAUAUUGGUGCAUUCUUCUUUUACAAAUGGCUCAGUUAUUAUUACGGGACGGAGAGAGUAUUAUUUUCUCAAUCGAUCAUUAGGGUUUGAACUCAUAUUUCUUAUCUCUUUUUUAACUCUUACCUAAAAUUAGUUGAAUUAUCCAAAUUCCAAAUAAAUAGACAUAUUUAAAAAGAAUGUGACAAGACCUAAGAAAUUUACAUAAGAUACACAACAACACCGAAUAUGGACGGGAAUAGGUUAUGUCGACCUAUAGAGACCUACGACAGAGUCUAUGUUAUGUCAAUUUUUUUGUUAAGCAAGUAAGGCUAAGGUUUUUUCAAAAAUCGGUAUAGCUAAAAAUGUUUGAUUAGGGGUCACAGAAAAAAUCUUUCAGCCUACCAGGCUGAGAUACUUAAGUAAAUAUGAAUAGCUUUUCAUAAAAAUUAUUUUUGAGAGAUGUCAUUUUGAAAAAAAUAUUUGAUUUUUACUAUGUAAAAUCUCGAACAAUGAAUAUUUAAGUUAGUACAUGUUAAAAUCUCUUUUUUUAACUUAUAUCAAAUGAGUGUGAAAUAAAUUUUACUAUUUUUGAGUAAAUUUAAAAAAAAAAAAUCCAUUUUCAAAAAUACAAAGGAAAAUCCAUUUUUGUAGAAUCUAAAACAAACGGGCCCCAAGCAGCUUCUCAAAAAAUAUAUUUUUUAUAGGAGAGUUGAGCCCGUUUGUUAUAGCUUUUUUAAGAAGAAAAAAAAAAUCACUUUUUUUUUUCAAAAAAUAAUCAUUUUUAAGAGUUUUGCAUCCGUUUGUUACAACUUUUUAAAAAAAUCAAAAUCUAAAAAAAAUCUAAAAACAGCUUCAAAUGAGAAGUUGUUAAGAGCAGCUUCUCAAAAAAUAGAUUUUUUUUAGAGGAGAGAGAAAAUAUGAUUUUAAAAAUUAAACUAAUUUUGUAACGAAAAAAUCCCUUUUAUAUAGGGCCCGUUUGUUACGGAUUAAAAUAAAAGUGAUUUUGACAUAAAAUAAUUUAGAGAUUAUGUUUUAGAGAUUCUUUAAAAAAUCAGAAUCUAUUUUAUGUUUGUUUACCAUGUCAAAAAUCUUUUUUUUUUUAAAAAGUGAUUUUUAGUUUGUUUGGAUACAACUUUCUAAAAGAAUUUUUUAUUAUAAAAUUACCAUAAAGGACACAAAAAAACAUUAUUUCAAAUAUAACAUGUUUGUCCAAAAAAAAUACUUUUUUUAUGUAUGAAAACAAGUAUGUUAAUUAAAAAUGCAUUUACGUUGUUAAAACACGAGCAAGAUGAUUAGUUGAAAAAGAAGGAUUGUUCUUCCAUAUCAUGUGAUACUAUAUAUAUGAUAUUUAGCUACUACAUAUUGAUAAUAGCAUUUGUUCAUAAUUUAACCUGAAUCAAUACCUAACUAAAGUGAUCUACCAAUAUGGAUCAAACAAUGUUAUAUAUGUAAACAAAUUAUGAAUAGCUAAGCAUGCCAUAAAAUUAUUGAUUUACCAAAUUAUUAUUCCACAAAUAUUUUGCACAAGAAACAAAAGAAUGAUAAAUUUAUCACUAACAUUUGUUGAUAAUUUAAUCUGCUUGUAUACAUGCACUCAUAUUGCCGAAUACAAAGUAUCAUAUUAUUUUUUUAUAAAAAUUUAACAAAUAUUCAUCAGUUUAGCAUUUGACACAAUACUACAAGAGUAGGAGACAAGCAGUGGGUGAAAUAGCACAAUACAAAAGCGUUCGUCGAUUUCUUGCCAUUGACUUUCGUAAAAAAAUAGCAUUUUCCUUGAUAAUAAUAACUAUAUAGUGGUUCCAAUUUAUGAUAUAUAUACAAGCCCCACACCAUGGCAGGACAGGGCACCCAAACAAUUACCCUCAAAACCCAACAUCAACAGCACCGCAAAAUAGAAGCAACAGUGAUAUAUAAAAACAGAAAAAACAUCCAAAAUAGACAAAAACAACACAAAAUAUAUGAUAAUGGAAAGAGAAACAUGAAAAAAAAAAUACAGGUUAAAUUAUGAAUGAAUCAAAAGAUAAUAAAAUUGCUAACCUUCACAACUUAGAUGAUCUGCAACAAAAAAUAAAAGAGGGAACUCACUUGUUUAGAGAAUAGAGAGAAGAAUAACGAAUAGGUUGUGAAAAAAGGAAGAUUAGUCUUUGUGUAUAUAUAGCAAAACAAGGAUAUGAUUGGAAUUUUAGUUUGUUUUGAACAUAUCCUUUUUUGUUAAAAUCUCGUAACAAAUUUCUCUCUCCUCUAAAAAUAAUCUAUAAAAAAAAAAUAAUAAUAAUUGCUCAUAACAGCUUCUCAUUUAAAGCUGUUUUUAGAUUAUUUUCAGAUUCUGAUUUUUUUGAAAAUCUGUAACAAACAAAUGCAAUAUUAAAAAUAGUGAUUAUUUUGUUAAAAAAAAAUGGUUUUUUUAUCAAAAAAGCUGUAACAAACGGGCCCAUAGUUGUAUCCAAACAAACUAAAUUAUUUGUUAAAAAAAAGUGACUUUUAUCACAACAAACAAACACAAAAUAAAUUCUGAUUUUUCAUAAAAUCUUUAAAAUAUAAUCUCUAAUUUAUUUUAUGUCAAAAUCACUUUUAUUUUAAUCCGUAACAAACGGGCAGAAAAUAUGGUUUAAAAGAUUGAACUAAUUUUGUAACAAAAAAUCCCUUUUAUAUAGAGCCUGUUUGUAUAACUUUUUUAAGAAAAAAAAAUCACUUUUUUUAAAAAAAUAAUCACUUUUAAGAGUUUUGCAUCCGUUUGUUACAACUUUUUAAAAAAAUCAGAAUCUAAAAAUAAUCUAAAAACAGCUUCAAAUGAGAAGCUGUUAAGAGCAGCUUCUCAAAAAAUAGUUUUUUUAGAGGAGAGAGAAAAUAUGAUUUAAAAGUUUGAACUAAUUUUGUAACAAAAAAUCCAUUUUAUAUAUUUGUAUCCAAAAAAAAUAAAUUAUUUGUUUAAACAAAUAAUUUUUAUUACGGUAAACAAGCGCAAAAUAGAUUCUGAUUUUUUAUAAAAUCUCUCAAAUAUAAUCUAUUUUCAUAAAAUCUUUAAAAUAUAGAGCCUGUUUGUUAUAGCUUUUUUUAGAAAAAAAUCACUUUUUUUAAGAAAAUAAUCACUUUUAAGAAUAUUGCAUCCGUUUGUUACAGAUUUUUAGAAAAAUCAGAAUCUAAAAAAAAUCUAAAAACAGCUUCAAAUGAGAAGUUGUUAAGAGCAGGUCUCAAAAAAUAGAUUUUUUUAGAGGAGAGAGAAAAUAUAAUUUAAAAGAUUGAGCUAAUUUUGUAACAAAAAAUCCCUUUUAUAUAGUCGUAUCAAAACAAACUAGAUUAUUUGUUUAAAAAAAAUGAUUUUUAUUACGGUAAACAAACACAAAAUAGAUUCUGAUUUUUCAUAAAAUCUCUAAAAUAUAUUCUCUAAAUUAUUUUAUGUCAAAUCACUUUAAUUUUAAUAUGUAACAAACGGGCUCAUAAUCUCUAAAUUAUUUUAUGUGAAAAUCAUUUUUAUUUUAAUCCGUAACAAACAAGCUCAUAGUUGUAUCAAAACAAACUAAGGGCCCUUUUGUUACGGAUUAAAAUAAAAGUGAUUUUAACAUAAAAUAAUUUAGAGAUUAAGGGCCCGUUUGUUACGGAUUAAAAUAAAAGUGAUUUUGAUAUAAAAUAAUUUAUAGAUUAUAUUUUAGAGAUUAUAUGAAAAAUCAGAAUCUAUUUUGUGUUUGUUUACUGUAAUAAAAAUCUUUUUUUUUUAACAAAUAAUCUAGUUUGUUUUGAUACGACUAUAUAAAAGGAAUUUUUUGUUACAAAAUUAGCUCAAUCUUUUAAAUUAUAUUUUCUCUCUCCUCUAAAAAAAAUCUAUUUUAUUUUAAGCUGCUUCUAACAACUUCUCAUUUAAAGCUGUUUUUAGAUUAUUUUUAGAUUCUGAUUUUUUUUAAAAUCUAUAACAAACGCAUACAAUACUCUUAAAAAUGAUUAUUUUUUUAAAAUAAGUUAUUUUUUUCUUAAAAAAACUAUAAUAAACAGGCUCUAAAUUUUAGAGAUUUUAUGAAAAAUCAGAAUAUAUUUUGCGUUUGCUUACCGUAAUAAAAAUCAUUUUUUUUAAAACAAAUAAUCUCGUUUGUUUAGAUACAACUAUAUAAAAGAAAUUUUUUAUUACAAAAUUAGUUCUAUCUUUUAAAGAAUAUUUUCUCUCUCGUCUAAAAAAUAUAUAUAUUUUUUGAGAAGCUGCUCUUAACAGCUUCUCAUUUGAAACUGUUUUUAGAUUUUUUUUUAGAUUCUGAUUUUUUUUUUUUUUUAAAACUGUAACAAACGGAUACAAAAUCUUAAAAGUGAUUAUUUUUUUAAAAUAAGUGAUUUUGUUCUUAAAAAAGCUAUAACAAACGGGCUCUAAAUUAUUUUAAAAAAAACGUGAUUUUUAUUGCGGUAAACAAACGCAAAAUAGAUUCUGACUUUUUAUAAAAUCUCUAAAUUAUUUUAUGUAAAAAUAACUUUUAUUUUAAUUCGUAACAAACGGGCUCAAAAUCUCUAAAAAUAAUAUCUAAAUCAUUCAAGGUCAAAGUCACUUUUAUUUUAAUCUGUAACAAACGGAUCUCAAAUUUAAAUUUGUUUUCUCUUUUUUAUUUAGAUCAUGAUUUUUUAAGAGUUGCAAUGACUAACGAAGCAAAAUGAUUAUUUUUAUUUAUUUUUUUAAAUAAACAAACGAACUUUGCACCAAAAAGGGGUCGGUGCCUUGUGAUAGAAGAAACGGUGAUAAAAAGAGGAGGGUUAUUGCUGUGAUAUAAAAAACAAAAGAGAUAAAUUUCGAAAAUACACAGACCACACAAUCUGAAGAUGGAUGAGUUCUACAAAGCCAAAAAAAAGACUUUGAAGGAGACUUCAAAAUCAAAGAAGAAGAAAUCUCAUGUAACAACUAAACCUAACGGUAACCAAUAUCAUCUCUAAUACUAUUUAUUUGUUUUUAAUCAAUCUCUAUACUAACUGUUGUUGUUGUUGCAUAGAUAACGAUAUAUUUGUUUGUCGUAAAAUAAUAUUAAUUGAAGAUUAUUGGUUGACCUUAUAACAUUUUUUUUAUUCAGAUGGUCUUGAAUAUAGCAAGGAAGAGAUGACGUUGCGGGAAUUUGACAUGAAUACGGCGUAUGGACCAUGUUUAGGAAUGACUAGACUAGAACGAUAUGAACGUGCACGAAAAUGGGGAUUGAAACCUCCACCCAAAAUUGGGAUGAUUUUGAAAGCUUUUAAUGUUGAUAAAGAGUGCUUGUUGCACGACCGCUUAGGGUUCUUUGAAAAAAAGUUCUAAUCAGUAAUAUAGUUUAUGGUUCAACUUCAUAUUAUUAAUGUUCUGCUCGGAAUUUUGCCACUUAAUUAAGAGGAUACUGCUGGUCAUGUUAUUUUCAUUUCAUUCCUAUUUUUUAUUUAUAAUUAUGCAGAAUUAUUUGGUUGUUGUUUCAUUCGUUUUUGUUUGAAUUAAGUGUUUGUCCAAUAUUAUUUUACUGGAAUAGUGGUAAUGACUAGUAUCUACAGGAGAAAUGUUUUUUGGUCAUCAAAAUGUGGAUGCCAUUUAUAUUUGUGUGUAUACUCCCUCAAUUCCUAAUUAUAAUCAUAGAAAAAUUUGAAUUCCCUUUUCAAGUUACCAAAGUGUGUGUGUAUGCGUGUGUAUCUUUUCCGCAGUAGAAAGUCAUGCAAUGAGUUCGGCUACUGCCCAGCAUAGGCUCUUGUGUAGAAUUGAAAAAAUUUGAAGGUUUAUUGUUAUUAGUUUUGCAUUGUUAUGUGUAAUGAGUUUGGAUACUGCCCAGCAGUAGGUUACAAUCAAAAUGUCCAAUUCCGAGUGUGUUAUGUCGAAAUUUAAUAUUAAUUUUGUGCGUAAAAAUAAUAAAACUUGUAAAUAAAACCUAAAACAAAACUGAUGUGUGAAAACUUUCCUUCUUUAGUAAAGGGACUUACCAAACCUCUCAGAGAUUUUUGUGAAUAAAGCAUUAUAAUCAUUGCAAUUAGAACUCUUUGGAAAAAGACAAUUCUAAGAACAGUUAGAUCUUCAGCCCACCAAUCAAUAGCUGGCCUCUGGUGAGAAGCAUUGGAAGAACUCAUCUCUCUUUCAUUGCUACUACCAUCACUUCUACCAGAUGAACCAAAGUGACUCUCCUUGGAAAGCUAUGUAGGCAGGCUAUUGCAUUUAUGCAUCUGCUAACUAAUUUUGCUUUCUUUGCAAUUGGAAGAAGAGUUUCUGAUGUAUGUAAGAUGGAUAUUGCCCCUGACAUGCUCUUGAGUGCAACUUCAUUCAAGUAAGAAUCGGUUCUUCCUACCAUAUUUCUGUCCGAAUAAUCUUCUGUCAUUUCAAGAUAUUUGGCCACACAUCGAAGCAUAGUGAUGCUUUCAACGCUUAUUUCAAAGUUUAUCCAGUAACAGAACUUUGCUGCUAGUUCAAAUGUUUCUGAUCCACCAGAGACGUCAAUGAGUUCAAUUAAUGGAACAUCAGCAACAGCAUUACUAGAUUCUGAAAUGAGCUUCCUUAUGUGUCCACUUUUGGAAAUUAAUGGAAACUGCAAAUUACAUUAGAGUUAUGAAAAAUAAUUCAAUAAUUUUGAUUUCCAAAUUAACAACUUUUAGUACUAUACAUAUAUCACCUAUAUCUUGCUUCUUAAUCUAAGUCCAAUUACUAUUCUAGAUAAAAUAAAGAAUAAAACCUAUAUGUGGAGUCAACUACAUAGAUCAAACCACAUCAUAAUGUUCUAUCAACAAAGGUGGAAAUAAUUGAUUGAAAAAACAUUACCAAGGACUAGAAAUCAUUACUCUCCAUUUAAUGAUAUUAUGAUUAGUAAUUUUGAUAUUUGAAUUUGUUCCCUACCUUGUGUAACGAAUAGGAAGCUUCACCAAUUUGUCUCAUGAUGAUGCAAUUGCAUUCCAAUUUUUUCUUCAACUGUGGCAGACUUGCAUUGUGUACUACUGCAUAUAUGAACAUAGACAAGUAACAGAGAAAAAAAGCGUUACUAUUUAACAUUUUUUGGAACAUUUUUAAAAAAAGUGUUACCAGCACGGCACGGUAAGUCGGUAACGCAGAUGCAGCUCCGCAAAUCGAUUUGAAAACUCUCAGGUCAUCCAUUUUCUCUCUAGUCACUGGUGAGGCUUCGCGUUUAUCUCUCUUUUUUUUGCUUUUGUUUUCAAUUUCUAGUUUCAAUGUAUGCAUGUUUUUAUGUGUUUCAUGAAUUUGUUAGUUGUUUUGAUUCCUUACAACAAAACUAAUUUCCUGAAUAAAACAACAAUUAUCAUUCAAGAACACUCUUGUUUUGGAGAUGAAGUGAUUUUUUGUAUUGUGUUAGUUUUUGUGUUGAUUUCAUUUUGCUGUUAUUGUGCCUCAUGGUACAAUUCUUGUUUUAUGUUUGAUCAAAUGCUUCAACCAAAAUUUAUCGUACAAUGCUUGCUUUCUGUUUGAUCAAAUGCUUCAACCAAUUUUUGGAUUCGACUAAUGUGAUCGUCCUGAACCUUUGCUUGUUAAAGGUCUUUGAAUUCUGCAAAACGAAUAGAAGUUUUUGUUCGGAAUGCGAUUAUAUGCAAUUUCUAGAUUCAAACUUAACUAAAUUAUUGAAAACUUAGGGUUGAAUGGUGCAGAAGCCAGUCACGUUCCUGUUGUGCAUAACCAAACUACGGCUGCUCCAGCACCGACAAUGGUGCCUGUCGGAGAGGAGAGGACGCAUGUGUACACCGGUCGGAGGCUGAUUUUAUUGUGGUGCCAUUGCACUUGAAGGCAACUAUAUUGGUUAUAGAUAAAGUUAAAUGAGGUGAGCCAUAUUUUUUUUUCUAGUGCAAGUAGUUAUGCAUUUUACAUUUUGAAGUAUAUGAUGCACUUCUAAUAUUACUACUGCUGUAGGCUCAAAAAUUCAGUGCAAAUUCAACUCACUCAUCAAACAAAAUUCUAAUGGUUUGUUGUGUUUUCUAUUUCGGUUGGUUUUGAUAUUUCAUUGUCUAUUAUUCCUCGUGCCUUUCAAAAUGCAAUCUAAGACAAGCAAUAAUUUACCUAAGUUAAGGACUUUUCUUACACGAAUCAGAGGUAUAGAGAUGAUUGUGUAGUGGAUGGAAUCAAGAGAUAACGAUAUGAAUGUCUGAAGGUUAUCUGUUUGCAGGUCUGAAUCUAUUUGUUUAUUUGAUAAAAUUCAAAGGUUAACCGCCGAGAAGGAGUUAACUAUAUGUUAUCAUAGUUAUGAGCGACAGCCUUGAAACAACUGUAUAUGAUGAUGUCCUGUUGAUAGUCGUCUUAUAUUUAUACAUCUGGUUUAUCAGCGAGUUUUCUCUCCUAUUUGGAAAAUCAGUUUAUGUUUGUUCAAUUUUUAUUUAAUUCUAUCGACUCACAAGUCGAAACUCAUUUCAAUUUAAUCAAUGGAUAUGAAUUUUGUUGGCGUGAGUUAUGCCUCUGAUAUAUCAUGAGGAAUCAUAGGGAUUUGAUUUGUAAUCAAAAAUAAUUUACCAUUAUUUCAAUCUAGUAAAAAUAGGUUUUUUACUUGUAUAUAUAGAAUACCUUUACACUCUUGUAAUGUAGAUUUGGAAAGAAAUAAAAUGAGACCUACUGUAUCAGUUUAACAUGGUAUCAAGAGCUUCUGAUCCAAAACCUAAUAUAACUCUGAAACCCUAAAAAUCCACCUCCUUCCAUGGCCGACUCUGAUUCUAAUACGGAAGACACAUCAUCGUCCUCCAUCCUAGCUGAAUUGACGGCGAAAAUGACGGAAGUUUUGAACCGAGCUGCAGCCCCGUCACAAGUUAAUGUUAGUUCUGAUCAUACGGUGGUGGCACCAAUCGGCAUCAAAUUAGACGGCAGCAACUACCCACUUUGGUCCCAGGUUGUCGAGAUGUAUAUCUCAGGCAAAGACAAGCUGGGUUAUAUCAAUGGAGAUCUUCCUCAACCUCCUCAAACUGACCCUACUUUUCGACGUUGGCGGACUGACAACGCGAUUGUAAAAGGAUGGCUGAUUAACUCUAUGGACACCUCCCUCAUCAGUAAUUUUAUUCGAUUCUCCACAGCCAAGUUGGUGUGGGACGCAAUUGCAACCACGUACUUUGAUGGCAGUGACACCUCUCAGGUGUACGAUCUUCGGCGUCGGGUAAGCCGUCUCAAGCAGGCUGGUGGAUCUAUUGAGAAAUAUUAUAAUGAUCUCCAAGGACUUUGGCGUGAGAUCGACUUCCGUCGUCCAAAUCCGAUGGAAUGCCCCAUUGAUAUCCAACAUUACAACACCCUCCUCCAAGAAGACCGAGUAUAUGUAUUUUUGGAUGGGCUUGAUGACCGCUUAGAUAAUAUUCGGAGCGAUGUUUUACAGAUGAAACCAUUUCCAACGGUGGAGCAAGCCUAUGCACAUGUACGGAGGGAAGCUCUGCGUCAAGCGGUAAUGACAGACAACUCUGAUGAAAUACCUGGAGCAGUUCUUGCAUCUAAAAGUCUCAGAUUACAUACCGGCAAAGCGAGUUCCAACUCAAAACAUAAAAGCUCAUACAUCAGUACUAAGUGCUCUCACUGUGGCGGAACAAAACAUACACGUGAAACAUGCUUUAAACUUCAUGGUUAUCCAGAUUGGUGGACAGAUUUUCAAGCUCGGAAGCAUCGAGAUACAAGCACUUCUGAUAGCGAUCCAGGAACAGCUGCUGUAGCUUCUGCAGAACCACAUUUGUCACUCAUUCCAUCAUCAAGCUCCCACCUUACACAAGGUAAUGCUCUAAUUUUCUCUAAUCCUGUCGACGACCGCAAUGCUUGGAUACUUGAUUCCGGUGCUACCGAUCACAUGACAUUUGAUGUGGCUGAUUUUUCCAAACGCUCAACUCCUCGACGCAAAAGUAUUUCCAAUGCUAAUGGUGGCUUAUCGUCGGUAACAGGGGCUGGGACUGUGAUGUUAUCACCCUCUCUUUUACUAUCUAAUACGCUGCUUGUUACAUCUCUCUCUCAUAAGUUGCUAUCCGUGAGUCAAGUUACAAACGACUUGAAUUGUGUUGUGCUGAUAUAUCCAUCUUUAUGUUUCCUUCAGGAUAUUCUCACCAAGGAGAUCAUUGGGCGUGGUACUAAGAAGGGGGGGCUCUAUUACAUGGAGGAUUUUAGUGUAGGACAAGCACACCACAUGCGCCACCCGGAAAAUCUUAAAGUGGAACAAAUUUUACUUUGGCAUCGUAGGCUAGGCCAUCCUUCAUUUGGAUACUUGAAACAUGUGUUUCCUGAUUUAUUUAUUGGUACAUCAUUGUUGGACUUAAAGUGUGAGGCUUGCAUCUUAGCCAAGAGUCAUAGAGUCAAUUUUCCAUUAAGUAUGAAUAAGAUUGAUGUUCCUUUUGCUUUGAUUCAUUCUAAUGUAUGGGGUCCAUCCCCAAAAUCCUCUGUCUUUGGCUUUCGUUGGUUUGUGAUAUUUAUUGAUGAUUGCACUCGAAUGACUUGGAUUUACUUGUUAAAACACAAGAAUGAAGUGUUCCAAAAAUUUCAACAAUUCCAUAAAAUGAUUCAAACUCAAUACUUAUCAAAGAUUCGUAUUCUUCGUUCUGAUAAUGGUGGCGAAUAUGUGAAUCAACAAUUUCGUGAAUAUUUCCAACAACAUGGACUUAUUCACGAAACCACUUGUCCACAAACUCCCCAGCAAAAUGGCACCGCAGAACGUAAGAAUCGCCAUAUCCUUGAAACUGCUCGUGCUCUUUUACUUGGAGCUCAUGUGCCUAGCCACCAUUGGGCUGAUAAUGUUACUACAGCAGUGUAUCUCAUUAAUAGGAUGCCAUCGAAGGUUCUUGAUUUUAAGACUCCGCUGCAAACUUUGUCAACAUUUGUGUCACUACCCACAAUACAAAUGCUCCCACCUCGAGUCUUUGGUUGUGUUGCAUUUGUUCACCUACAUAAAAAUCAGCAAACAAAACUUGAUCCUUGUGCCAUUCGCUGCCUUUUUUUGGGGUAUGGUGUACACCAGAAAGGGUACCGUUGCUUUGACCCUAUCAAUCGGCAUACAUAUGUAACUAUGGAUGUGACUUUCCUCGAAUUUGACACUUUCUAUGCACCUCCCUCAUCCAAUUCUUCUCUUCAGGGGGAGACAAGAGAAGAAGAAUCGAAUUGGAUGAUGUUUGACUGGUUCAAUCAUAUCGAUACACCAUCUCAUGAGGUUUCCGAUGAGGCUCCUCAAACAUUUUUCCCUUCUCUAGAAGUUGAAGCAACAAACCCCCCUCUCUCUCCAGUAUCCAAUGACUCUUCUUUAGAAAAUAUCGUUGAGGUUAGCUCUCCUGUUACUCUUGAUAAUAAUGUUGAUAUCAAUGUUGGCUAUGAGCUUCCUUACAGGCAUAAUCGGGGGAAACCACCAAAAAGAUACUCUCCUGAGGUGGAAGACCAAAGAUCGAGGUAUCCAAUUACUAAUUAUGUCUCUACAGAGGAGUUGUCUGAACCUCUUAAGAAGUUUGCAAAUGAGCUCUCAUCACAUAGUGUUCCUACCAAUGUUGAAGAGGCUCUUGAAGACCCGAGAUGGAUUCAAGCUAUGAAUGAAGAAAUGGAGGCAUUAAAUAAGAAUACAACAUGGAAUCUUGUACCUCUACCAAAGGGGAAGAAACCUGUAGGUUGUAAGUGGGUUUUCUCGAUCAAGUAUAAAGCUGAUGGAUCUAUAGAAAGGUACAAGGCAAGACUAGUGGCUAAAGGGUUUACACAAACAUAUGGUGUAGACUAACAAGAAACCUUUUCACCUGUAGCUAAGUUGAGCACUGUAAGAGUCCUUCUAUCUCUCGCUGUAAAUCUUGAUUGGCCAUUACAUCAAUUAGAUGUAAAAAAUGCUUUUCUACAUGGAUAUCUCGAUGAAGAAAUAUAUAUGGAUAUUCCUCCAGGAUAUAUGACAAGUUCUAAGACCGAAGUGGUGUGCAAGUUGCAACGUUCAUUGUAUGGUUUGAAGCAAUCCCCUAGAGCAUGGUUUGGGCGAUUAAGCUUGGCAAUGAAAAAAUAUGGCUUUCAACAAAGCAAUGCAGAUCAUACUUUAUUCUUAAAACAUCGAGAAGGUAAAGUUACAGCUUUGAUCAUCUAUGUAGACGAUAUGAUCAUUACCGGAGAUGACUCUAAGGAAAUAGAAAGGCUUCAAAAGCAAUUGGCAACAGAAUUUGAAAUGAAAAAUCUAGGAGGGCUCAAAUAUUUUCUAGGGAUUGAGGAUGCUAGGUCCAAGCAAGGCAUCUUUAUAUCUCAACGGAAGUAUAUUCUAGAUCUUUUAUCAGAGGUUGGAUUACUAGAUUGUAAGCCAGUAGAUACUCCAAUAAUUCAAAAUCACCACCUUGGAGAAUAUCCAGACCAAGUGCCAACAGAAAAAGGAAGGUACCAAAGGUUAGUUGGAAAACUUAUUUAUCUAUCUCAUACACGACCUGACAUAGCCUACGCUGUAAGUGUAAUGAGUCAGUUCAUGCACAAUCCAAGUGAAGAUCACAUGAAUGCAGUAAUUCGGAUUCUCCGGUACUUGAAAUCCUCGCCUGGAAAAGGAUUAAUGUUCAAAAAAAAUAAUCAUCUUCAGGUUGAAGGCUAUACAGACGCCGACUGGGCGGGAGAUAUCACAAGUAGGAAAUCCACUUCAGGCUAUUUUACCUUUGUUGGAGGAAAUUUGGUUUCAUGGAAAAGUAAAAAACAGAAGGUUGUAGCAUUAUCCAGUGCUGAAGCUGAAUUUCGGGGGAUGGCUAAGGGUCUUUGUGAGCUCCUUUGGCUGCGAAGGUUGUUGACAGAAAUUGGAUUUGCUCCAAAUUGUGAAAUGAAACUAUUUUGUGACAACAAGGCUGCUAUAAACAUUUCUCACAAUCCGGUUCAACAUGAUCGAACCAAACAUGUGGAAGUAGAUCGGCACUUUAUUAAACAAAAUCUGGAGACCAAAAUAAUUCAAUUUCCAUUUGUUAAAUCUGAGGACCAGUUAGCAGAUAUACUCACAAAAGCCGUAUGCAGCAAAAACUUUUUCAACUCACUUGACAAGUUGGGCAUUCAGAAUCUCUGUGCACCAACUUGAGGGGGAGUGUUGGCGUGAGUUAUGCCUCUGAUAUAUCAUGAGGAAUCAUAGGGAUUUGAUUUGUAAUCAGAAAUAAUUUACCAUUAUUUCAGUCUAGUAAAAAUAGGUUUUUUACUUGUAUAUAUAGAAUACCUUUACACUCUUGUAAUGUAGAUUUGGAAAGAAAUAAAAUGAGACCUACUGUAUCAGUUUAACAAAUUUUUUAUUUAAUAUAUACUUUGUGACUGCAUUUCCGCUUUAACUGACUUCGUGGCAGAAAACGGUUAUUCCUCUGAAUGCAAAUAACCAAAUCUGAUCUGUUGGCUCAACUCAAAGACCUCAAGGCUGAACUCAUUUUGCUAUGUGUUGCUAAGGUCACUGGUGGUGCACCCAACAAGCUCUCCAAGAUGUAAAAAUCGAUUCUUUAUUGUUCCAAUUCUAAUGGGUUGAUUUUGUUUUGUGUUGUAAGGUGUUUGUGUUAAUGAUUGAUGUGUUUUUUUCCUUGGGGGUUUUGCAGUAAGGUGGGAGGUUGUCGAUUUCUCAGAAGCAGAAGGCUGCAUUGAGGGAAGCUUACAAGAACAGGAAGUAUUUGCCACUUGAUCUUCACCCAAAGAAGAUUAGGGCCAUUUGCAGAAGGCUCACCAAGCACCAGGUAUUAAACCCUUUUAUUCAUACUUAAUUGCGUAUAAUUUUUGUUAAAGUUCAUUGUUGUAAACAUAUACUCCAAUGUAUCUUUGUGGUUUUUGCUUUUGGCUGGAUCAAUGCAUUUCAUUGUUUUUUUCAUCAUAUUUUGUUGUGACCAUAAAUCGGUGUAUAUCAGCUUUAAUGAGAUCUCUAACAUGAUGCUUUAGAAUAAUCUGAUUAUGUCAUUUGUGAAAUACAGGGCUUGUGUCCUUGAAUUAUAAACACGGUAUCCGUUGUUUAUUAUUGCUUCAUGAUAGCAUUGUAAUUCUGCUUAAAUAGUUGUAUAUAACAUAUGCAUUAACUGCACGUGUGAAUUGCUGCAAAUUACCUCAGUCAAAUUAGUUGUUGCUAAGGAAUUACUGCCCCCAGGUGGAAACCAUUGUCUUCCUCAAACAGGUUCCUAUGUCAAAUGAAUCAAAUGAAAUUUCAAACUAAAUCGUUUUUAUUUUUUAUUUUCUUUUUAAUUUAGGAGAGAAUCACCAUUGGUGGUAUACAGAUUGAUGAUUCUUUGGAUAUUCAAUCUUACUUGAGUUUGAUCUUUCCUUGUAACCUUAUUCUCUGAUGUUGGAAAACUGACUACAUAUGUGCAAUUUAUAUUGAUUAUAAAAGAUUCUGCCAAAAGAAUUCUUUACGAAAAUAAAAUAUUGAUCUCUAUGGAGCUAGCUAUUACCCUGUUCGAUGCAGCUGCCAUAACAUGUCUUAAACCUAUAGGCAAGAUUUCAACUUCCUCUGUAUAGCCUAAAAACUAUAUUGAUCCCAAUCUAAACUCCUCCAGUUAUAACCAAUUAAGUUAUUCAGAACAAUCAUUCAUCGUCGAAGGAUGUCUCAAAUAGCGAACAUGUCGCCUUCCUUUUGUUUUGUCUCCAUAUGUCUUUAUGUCUUUUAGAAAUCUAUUACCAUUGGAAAAGCCUUACUUCCCUUGCUAGGCUUCUCUACGAAGGAGCAGAAGUUAGCUUGAGCAAACUCCUUUUAGCUUAGCUUUACUAGUGUUUAAACAAAUGUAUAACAUCCUUUCAAAGAGCUCGUAUUUUAUUUAAAAUUUAGGUGUUAUUAUUUGGCUCCUUCAACUGGUUGAAUGCUAUCCACUUUCCAGACUUCCAAGAAAUGAGCGUUACUGCUCAAAAUCUUUAUGAUCAUCUACAGCACGAGAUGAUUCCUCAUUCAUGACAAUCAUCACAGUCGUUAAUCACACUCUGAUUACACGCUCUUGGCCAUGGUUUCUUGCUAGCUAGGAAAAAAGGGAGACCAUGUUUGUACUAUGAAUGGUUUACAAACCCUCUUCAUUGUUUAAUUUCUUGAUGUAGGGUCCAGGACUUUGUUUUUGUGGGGUUGAUCACACCUGUACUUCAGUUUGGCUUAUGUUUAGACUUGAAGUACUAUACAUCGUCUUUAUAAUUUUCAAGGGCUAAUGCGCUAAGAUGGAAAAUUAAGUUUAUCAUAUGAAGUAGAUGUACCAGCUUGGUCAAGUAGAGACUUUAAUUUAGUCUGGCUUCUGUUUAGAUUAGUCUUGUUACUUUAUGUUUAAAUUUGAUAUAUUUAGUGGUGCACUUGACAACGUUUCCUUGUAUAAUGACAUAUAAUAUUACGUUAAUGUUUCAAAAUAUGUCUUGAGCGAAAUUUAAUUGUGACAUUGAGAAGGAUAUAACAUAAAAAUUAAUAUCUGAAAAUUGUUUUAGAAUUUGAUUGCAAACGAAAAUUGUUUUAGAAUUUGAUUGCAAACAGGAUAGAAAACAAUAAUAAUUUUAUUAGAGACAAUUUUGAGAGGAAUGAUGAACAAAGAGAAAAAUAAGAGACGGGAUAAUUGGUUUUCUCCAUAGAGACGGAAAAUCUAUAUGGUAGAGACGACAAUUAGAGUCGAAAUAAGUGGAUAUGUCUCUAUAGAGAUGGAAAUUUUUUUUUUUUUGAGGGAGAUGGAAAUUUAUAUGUUAGAGAUGACAAUUUAAAAUUGAAUUAUUCAUGUUUGGAGAACAAAUGUUCCGUCUCCAAUAAAAACGAAGUUGUCUUGUUCUGUCAUCCACUAAAAAAGGCAGAUUUUAGACAUAUAUAUUUCUAAUGAAAAUUGCUAAAGCUUGCGAGACAUUUACACAACGAAUCCUUCCCGAAAUGUAUUUCCAUCUUCUCUCUCAUGCUGAUAUAUAUCUCUCUCUUCCAUGAAUUCCACACAAGCAUUGUUUUGAAUUUUGAUUGGCUAUUCAGGAUAAUUUCGGGAUGUUUUCAUUCGCUUUAAAUAGCACGGCUCAUUUUUAAUAGAUGUAAAUUAAUAACCCUCCGUAUAUUUUACACAUGUUCCUGUUCUUUUUAUAUAUUGAACUAGACCCGAAUGGUGGUCACUCCAAUUAGCACAGCCGUAUCAACAAACUAUUGGUCAUGUGUUUGAUCGUUUGAAUAAUCAUGCUUGGUGGGAUAAACUAUCCAUUUGGAAUUGAUAAUAAUGGGGAAGAAAAAAAUAAAAAAUUAUUAUCCUAGUUAGUGGACAAGAAAAUGGAUGGUGGAUCACUUUCUAGUGGUGCACAUGUAACUAAUUAUAUCUUUUUACUAAAAUUAAUUAAGUAUUAUUAAAGGACAAAUUCAUUUCUAUUGCCAAGAAUAUAGAAUUAGCUACUUUUAUGUUAUUUUAUAAGAGGGUGUUGAUUACUUUUGUUUAUACAAUUAUAGUUUUUCUAAUACAAUUUUUAUAUUAAAUUUGUAGUAUAUGCAAAUUUAAUUUUCCUUUAGUUGUGUCUUUUAAAUUUGGGCACUAAUUCGAAGGUAUAGAAUACUAAUCAUCCCAAGUGUUUUAUUAAUAACUCUUCUAUUGUGCUCUUGAAAUCUGAUUGCGUGUUAAUUAUCUCCAUUUGAUACAAUUCUUCUUUUAAUUUUAAAGUAAAGAAAGGACUGAAAUUUAUAUAGACAUUUAUACAUCAAAAUCAAAAUUAGAGUAAACAUGUUGUUGAAAAAUUGAGAGGAUCACAACCUCAUAACUCGCAUACUACAUGAAAUCUAUCUUUUGAAAAAGCAAGUAGGGCAAUAUGUAACAUUAUUUCGAGCUCGUAUUUGUUGUUGCAGAGAAACCACAAAGUUGAAUAUAACCUUUUAUUAUAAUCUUUGGACCAUUAUUUGAUGGUACAUAUUAUAACUUUGUGAAUUUAUACAUUGUUUGAGAUUAAAAUUGUGUUGUUUAAGUUUUAUAACACCAAAUCCAUUAUUUCUUUUUACCAAAAUUAAAAUAAAUAAAUAAAGUAAAAAAAAAAAAAAACCAAAUCCAUUAUUUCUCAUUUUGAGUCUAUGUCAUUUUUUUUUCUCUAUUAUGUUUUUGGUUUUUUUUUUUUUUCUCUCUCUCAUUUUUAAUACCAUAGAGUGGGAGUCAAAAAGAAAUUGUUAUGGAGUUGGAGUGCUCAAAAGUAACUUUGGCAGUAGUGUUAGACUUUAGAUUAUAAUUUGUUUUGUUUAAGGAAUAUUUAGAUUUUGUUAUGAGCACCCAUUGACUUGAUGGUGCACCGGUUGACCAUACUAAUUGGCCUACGUCCAUGACAUCAUGGAGUACUUUGAUUGCAAGAAUUCCACCACUAAGAGGAUGUUAAUUUUUGUGUGUAUACAAAAAUUUAGAUGAGUUUGGUUAGACAAAAUCCGUUUUUAAGAAAUAACAAUAAAAUGGAUUUUCUUUUUCAAUGGGUUUCUUCGACAUGAAGUAAUCAUAUUUAAAAUGUGUCAAUAUUAAAUAUGAAUAUAUUCUUUUUGGUUAGAGUCAUGGGCGGAUCCAAUGUAGGAUUAGUGAGAUUUUAGUCAUGCCAAUUUUUUCCUAUAAAUAGUCACACCCCUUUUUUUUUACCAUAAAAUUUUAAGAAUGAAGGAUGUCUAGUAGAACAAGUGAAGAAUGAUCAAUUUUUCCAGAGCAAUAAGACGAAUAAAAUAUUUUAGGAGGUCGGUGACUCAUUUUGUUCCAAUUAGCCAUUGUUAUGGUUACAAAUGGACAUUUGUUAAUAAAACUACUAAAACUAUUAAUUUGGAUGAAAUAGUACAUAAUCUUUAAUUCCACAAAUUUUUUUGACACUAUUAUUUUAGCCACACCAACAAACAAAUAAUAGAUCUACCACUGAUCAGAGUUCUAGUCGUAGUUUGUUAAUUGUCAGUGUCUAAUCUUAGUUUGACCCUCCCUGCUAUUAAGUCGUUAAAUGUGGGGCGGGCUAGGGUGGACAAACUUGAGUGGUCGAGUUGAAACUCCCACCCUAUCCUACUCCUUAACAAGUCGUCUUGUUGUCUCUCGAUUAGUUAUGUCAUCUAAUGUCAUAAAGUUUAAAAAAAAAAUGGCAUUGACAACAUAAACAUGCAUUCACACUAGCUACUAAAUAACCAAAUCAAAUACAAAUAUAAUAUAGUGUGUCACAAUUGGUAGAGACUUGAGUAUUAUCCAUUUUUUUUAGGAUUCAUUCUCAAACUGGUGCAUAUGGAAAAGAAAAAAAAUCAUUAGAAAAGAUCAACCACUUAAAUAAAUCGCAAUUAUCUCAAAGGAAUUAUUGUUCAAAAAUAUAUUUGGUUCAACAAAUAAAUUAACCAAACCAAAUAUUGCAUAUCCUCCCAUCAGUAAUGAAAAACAAUAUCGUGAAAGAAAAAAAUUAAUGCUCCAAUUGUAACAUCAAAAUAGAAUAAUUUGAAUUAAAUUAAUCUCAAAAUAAUUUAAGUUUCUCCAAUACGCAAUUAGUCCACUAGCAAAAUAAACUAAAAAAAAAUAAAAGAAUUUCUUAAAGUGACGGACAUGCCAAUUUUUCCAUCAUCGUUCAACUUUUAAGCGGAUUAGACAAGACAUAUCAAUUUAAGUGUUUGAUGUUAAAAACUCAACCUGCUACGUCUAAAAUAGUAACUUAAACAAGAUUAACCCAACAAACUCUGACAUGUUUUGUCAUCCUUCUAUUAGAUCGAAUGCGUAUUGGUUAUAAGUGCUAUUUUUUUUUAUCAACCGAAUUAACUUUUUUACCACUACAAAUUAAACACAGUUCAACUUGUAUAAGGGGUGUUCCUGUCAUUUUUUUUCAACCUAAAAUUAAGGAAUAUGAUCAUCUUUAUUUAAUGGACACUUCAAUUUAAAGAGAUAGACAAAAAAAUAAAAUAAUAAUAUUAUAUACUCAUGAAAUGGAGAUGAUCUCAACACAAAAUUAACAAUAUUCAUGAUCUGCUUUAUGCAGGAUUCAUUGAUCAAAUCCCUAAAUAUAAAUAUAAAAAUUGCAAAUUUACAUCAAACAUGGCCAUGAAAGGACACUUCAUUUCUUUUUUUAUUUUUUACAAAAGAAAGGACACUUCAUCUUUGCCUAUAAAAGCUCAUUCAAAUAUCUAAACCUUCAAUCAUCCCAUUAAUAUUGUUCCUCAAACUGCAAUAUAUAUGGCUACUAUUUCUGUAAUCCCAUAUUCCUUCCUCAUUCUCAUAAUCCUUUUCACAUCUAAAGUAAACGCAGAUGACAAGUUCACCUACUUAUGUGACAAAAAUAACGAUAGAGGCGACUACAUAACCGGUAGUACCUACCAUAACAACCUCA